GGUGGCCAUUUUAUUUUAUUAGAGGAACCUGUCUUUUAAUCGAUUCUCCACGAUAUUUUUCACUUUUAUUUAUAUUUUAUAUACCUCCAUCCCAAGGAUUAAUAUAUAUAUAUAUAUUCUUCUCUAAAUAGAUUUCCUAAAAAGUUAGGUAAAGGUGUAAACUAUAUGAAAGAUAAGAUGGGUUACUUUAAACACUAUUUAAGAAUAUUUAAUUAAAAUUAUUUUUGAAAAAGGAUUUAUUAGUAAUUAUUUUAAUAAUAUUUUUAAAUGAACCUAAUAAAAAAUGUGCACACAUCGCCCGUCGCUCUU
rnacentral:rRNA from 1 species